rnacentral:rRNA from 1 species
UAGGGAAUUUUCGUCAAUGGGGGAAACCCUGAACGAGCAAUGCCGCGUGAGUGAAGAAGGUCUUCGGAUCGUAAAGCUCUGUUGUAAGUGAAGAACGGCUCAUAGAGGAAAUGCUAUGGGAGUGACGGUAGCUUACCAGAAAGCCACGGCUAACUACGUGCCAGCAACCGCGGUAAUACGUAGGUGGCAAGCGUUAUCCGGAAUCAUUGGGCGUAAAGGGUGCGUAGGUGGCGUACUAAGUCUGUAGUAAAAGGCAAUGGCUCAACCAUUGUAAGCUAUGGAAACUGGUAUGCUGGAGUGCAGAAGAGGGCGAUGGAAUUCCAUGUGUAGCGGUAAAAUGCGUAGAUAUAUGGAGGAACACCAGUGGCGAAGGCGGUCGCCUGGUCUGUAACUGACACUGAGGCACGAAAGCGUGGGGAGCAAAUAGG